UGUGACUCCUCUUUAAGGGCGUGUUUAGUUUAUAAUUGGAAUAAGAAUGAAAAAUUAAAUUAAAUUGCUUUGGAAUGAAAAAUGAAAUGAUGAAUCAUUCAAAAAUAUUUGGUUUAUUAUUGGAAUGAAAAUUGGAAUGAAAAUUUAAAAUUUUUGAAAGAGAGCUUUGAUUAAGAGAGAGAAAAGUGAUGAAGGGAGAGAAGGUAGGUGUUGAUAAAAAAGGAUUUUGAAUAGUUUAUUUUGGAAUGAGCCAAUACGGGAUUCAAAGCCGGAUUGGAUCAUAAAUGGAUUUGAUCAUUCCCAUUCUGGAGUGGAAUGGAAAUCGGAAUCCGAUUUCUAUAAAACAAACGGCAACUAUCGAAAUCAAUGAAUUCCAUUUCGAUUUCAUAAUCUAAAAUAGGUGAACCAAACAUACCCUAAGAGUGAAAAUGGUUAGAAUAAACUCUGAUUGUAUUUAAUAUCGAAUAUAAAUUUUAAAUUUUAAUAUUUGAUGAAUAUUUAUAUUCAAAUUUAUAUUAAAAAAUAAAUAAAUAUAAAUAUGAUUUUGUUAAAAAAUUGGCUGUAUUUGACUAUUU
rnacentral:lncRNA from 1 species